UGGCGGGUGCUUAUAAUGCAGUCUUAGGAGAACGUCCUCUUCGGAGGAUUAGUAAACUGGCGAACGGGUGAGUAACGCGUAGGCAACCUGCCCGGCAGACCGGGAUAACAUUGAGAAAUCGGUGCUAAUACCGGAUGAUGUCACACCUUGUAUUUGGUAUGACCAAAGGGGGCUUCGGCUCGUACUGUCGGAUGGGCCUGCGUCUGAUUAGCUUGAUGGUGAGGUAACGGCUCACCAUAGCGACGAUCAGUAGCUGGUCUGAGAGGAUGAUCAGCCACACUGGGACUGAGAUACGGCCCAGACUCCUACGGGAGGCAGCAGUAGGGAAUUUUGCGCAAUGGGGGAAACCCUGACGCAGCAACGCCGCGUGAUCGAAGAAGCUUUGCGGAGUGUAAAGAUCUGUCAUCGGGGAAGAAUCCGUUCUUAUUCUAACAAAAUAGGAGCCUGACGGUACCCGAUAAGAAAGCCCCGGCUAACUUCGUGUCAGCAGCCGCGGUAAUACGAGGGGGGCAAGCGUUGUCCGGAUUCAUUGGGCGUAAAGAGCUCGUAGGCGGAUUGAUCAGUCAAUACUGAAAUCCCCCGACUCAAUCGGGGAACUGGUGUUGAUACUGUCAAUCUUGAGUGGGAGAGAGGCAAGCGGAAUUCCUGGUGUAGCGGUGAAAUGCGUAGAUAUCAGGAGGAACACCGAAGGCGAAGGCAGCUUGCUGGCUCCAUACUGACGCUGAGGAGCGAAAGCGUGGGGAGCAAACAGGAUUAGAGACCCUGGUAGUCCACGCCGUAAACGAUGAGUACUUGAUGGUGGAGGAUUCGACCCCUUCACUGUCGGAGUUAACGCGUUAAGUACUCCGCCUGGGGACUACGACCGCAAGGUUGAAACUCAAAGGAUUGACGGGGACCCGCACAGCGGUGGAUCAUGUGGUUUAAUCGAUGCACGCGAAGA
rnacentral:rRNA from 1 species